AACCCUUGUCCUUAGUUACCAGCACGUUAUGGUGGGCACUCUAUGGAGACUGCCGGUGACAAACCGAGGAAGGUGGGGAUGACGUCAAGUCAUCAUGGCCCUUACGGCCUGGGCUACACACGUGCUACAAUGGUCGGUACAAAGGGUUGCCAAGCCGCGAGGUGGAGCUAAUCCCAUAAAACCGAUCGUAGUCCGGAUCGCAGUCUGCAACUCGACUGCGUGAAGUCGGAAUCGCUAGUAAUCGUGAAUCAGAAUGUCACGGUGAAUACGUUCCCGGGCCUU
rnacentral:rRNA from 1 species